GGAUGUGAGAGCAAUCUGGCUGCCACAUCUGUCACCCCAUUGAGCACCAGGGUUGAGUCCGUUCAUCUGGCUGGCCAAGCAGGUGUCCCCUUCCUCCCUUACCGUUCUGUCUGUGCCCCUUAUGGAACUGCAUGCUGUAUCCCCAAUAGAGGAGGACUUCUUUGGUCAAGAGUAAAUGAGUAGCUGGGCUUCCCUCAUGGAACUUCCAAGUAAACUCUCAAGAAAGUCCAGGAAUGAAAGAAGAGUUAGGACAUAGAAGGAUUAGCACUUCUCAGAAACUAGCAAUAGUUCUAGAAGUUACCAUUC
rnacentral:snRNA from 1 species